rnacentral:rRNA from 1 species
GACGAACGCUGGCGGCGUGCUUAACACAUGCAAGUCGAACGGAAAGGCCCUGCUUUUGUGGGGUGCUCGAGUGGCGAACGGGUGAGUAACACGUGAGUAACCUGCCCUUGACUUUGGGAUAACUUCAGGAAACUGGGGCUAAUACCGGAUAGGAGCUCCUGCUGCAUGGUGGGGGUUGGAAAGUUUCGGCGGUUGGGGAUGGACUCGCGGCUUAUCAGCUUGUUGGUGGGGUAGUGGCUUACCAAGGCUUUGACGGGUAGCCGGCCUGAGAGGGUGACCGGCCACAUUGGGACUGAGAUACGGCCCAGACUCCUACGGGAGGCAGCAGUGGGGAAUAUUGCACAAUGGGCGGAAGCCUGAUGCAGCAACGCCGCGUGCGGGAUGGCGGCCUUCGGGUUGUAAACCGCUUUCGCCUGUGACGAAGCGUGAGUGACGGUAAUGGGUAAAGAAGCACCGGCUAACUACGUGCCAGCAGCCGCGGUGAUACGUAGGGUGCGAGCGUUGUCCGGAUUUAUUGGGCGUAAAGGGCUCGUAGGUGGUUGAUCGCGUCGGAAGUGUAAUCUUGGGGCUUAACCCUGAGCGUGCUUUCGAUACGGGUUGACUUGAGGAAGGUAGGGGAGAAUGGAAUUCCUGGUGGAGCGGUGGAAUGCGCAGAUAUCAGGAGGAACACCAGUGGCGAAGGCGGUUCUCUGGGCCUUUCCUGACGCUGAGGAGCGAAAGCGUGGGGAGCGAACAGGCUUAGAUACCCUGGUAGUCCACGCUGUAAACGGUGGGUACUAGGUGUGGGGUCCAUUCCACGGGUUCCGUGCCGUAGCUAACGCUUUAGGUACCCCGCCUGGGGAGUACGGCCGCAAGGCUAAAACUCAAAGGAAUUGACGGGGCCCCGCACAAGCGGCGGAGCAUGCGGAUUAAUUCGAUGCAACGCGUAGAACCUUACCUGGGUUUGACAUGGAUCGGGAGUGCUCAGAGAUGGGUGUGCCUCUUUUGGGGUCGGUUCACAGGUGGUGCAUGGCUGUCGUCAGCUCGUGUCGUGAGAUGUUGGGUUAAGUCCCGCAACGAGCGCAACCCUUGUUCACUGUUGCCAGCACGUUAUGGUGGGGACUCAGUGGAGACCGCCGGGGUCAACUCGGAGGAAGGUGGGGAUGACGUCAAGUCAUCAUGCCCCUUAUGUCCAGGGCUUCACGCAUGCUACAAUGGCUGGUACAGAGAGUGGCGAGCCUGUGAGGGUGAGCGAAUCUCGGAAAGCCGGUCUCAGUUCGGAUUGGGGUCUGCAACUCGACCUCAUGAAGUCGGAGUCGCUAGUAAUCGCAGAUCAGCAACGCUGCGGUGAAUACGUUCCCGGGGCU